rnacentral:lncRNA from 1 species
UUUUUUUUUCAUUUUUUUUUAAUUUGUGAUUUUGACUUGUUUACGCACGUGGGUAUGUUCCGGUACGUAUUAGAUCGACGUGAACUGAUCCGUAGUCCUGGCGAGAGUUGGGCAGGCAAUCCGCUAACCCCUUUGGUUCGCCUUAGGGGAAAGUGGGGCUGUUACAAGUGGUAUCAGAGCCACUUCGCAUGGUCUCUGCGCGGAGUGAGACUGGGCCAAGUGGUGUUGUGGUCCUAAUUUCAUGAAUAUGUCUAAGUGCUCUUUUGAGCGUAAGUUAUGAACCGGGCAUGUAAUAAGUGUACGAAUCAUUAUCAUGGGACUCGAGGAAGUUAGGUAUGUAUGUCGGGUAGGAAUCUUUAAUAAGGAUGGUUUACUCUUGGGACCGGCCGGCUCGAGAUGUGAAUUAUCUUAGAUGAGAUUCUUGCGCCCGGAUACGAAAGAUAUGAGGGCCUAGGUUAGAAAGGAUUUGGUGAACUAGAAAGGCGAUUCUAUGGAACUUCGUGUGGUUUGUUUGGGUGUGGUUAAGCGUGAUCGACCUUGAUUAAGAUAUAAAUAUUUGGACGAAACCCUAGAAGGGGAAAAGCUUUUCGUGAGUUCUUUUGCACUUGUGACCUAGGUGUCUAUAGUACUUUUGGAGGACCCUUUUGUUUCAUGGAAUGACUUCGUAUGUACUUGACUGAUUGUUCCGUAUAAUUGCUUAACCUGGUUAUGUGAUCUAUGUAUACGUGUUAUGUGUUUAAAUGCUCUUCGCGGUAAUUGUUUGAGUUACUUAUUCUUGUUUCAUUGUUCCUGUCUGGUGCUACGGAAAGGAGGGUUAGGUGCCCUUUAACAGUAUAUUUAUUUGGUGACCUACAUUGACUUAGAUUGAUGGAAGGCACUCGGAGUGGUCGAGGCCGUGGACGCAGAACUAGACAACCCACACCGGUUAGGGGAAAGUGGGGCUGUUACAGAAGAUCUUUAUUUCCAUCCCAUGGAUCUCUUCACAGAUUGUACGAAAAAUCAAGUGGAUUCUGUGAGGACUUGUGAGGAUCUAAAAAUUAUUUUAUGUUUUAUCUUAUUUCUUUGAAUACGUUUUCUUUUACUUUACUUUAUUUGCUUUAAUUUCUUAGAUACUUUCAUAAGUAAGUCAAGAUUUUUAUUAUUUUUCUUCUAUAAGUUAGUGCAUGUUAAGUUCAUAGUGCAUUAUGGAAGUGGGGCCCACUAGUCAGGUGUGCUAUAAAUUUGGUGGACAAAAAUGGGUAUUUUACAAGAAAGAUUAUGUGAUUAGAAGUGUUAAGAAUAAAUUAGAGGAAAACAAUAUAGAUUAGUGAUUAGAGACUAAGGAAAGACAAAGAGAUAAGCUUGAAACCCUAAGCCACCACUUGUCGACAAUCUAAACCUCUCUUGAUCAAGAUUAGUCUUUGGCUUUAUCUUGAAAAAUUGAAGCAAAAGCCCCUUGUUCUUACCUUGCUCUUGGCUGAACCUCUAAGAAGAGAAAAGAGCAAAAAAAAACUCCAAUUCCAACUUGAUUUCUUGCUGGAUUCCUUGAGAAAUCCAUCCUGAAACCCUAAUCCAAUCCAUAGGAAGUUGUAUCAAGGAAGGAGGGAAAGCUUGUGUAGAGUGAUUUGGGGAAAAGAAAGCUCUUGUUUGCAUUUCUCCUUAGGGUUUGAAGGUAUUCAUGUCACGAAACUACCUUUUCUCUUUUAUCUUGCACUUGAAUGGAUUUAUGACUUGAUUAUGGUAGGUUUCAUAGAAAAUUUCUUAGUUUUGUGAAGUAGUUUGAAAUUUCCAGCUUUGAUUGAGAAAUUCCAGCCUUGAAAUGCUAAUUUCAGCUUUGCUAUGUCCUUUUAGUCUUGCCAUGAGGAUUUUCCAAUUUUUGUAUGCACUUUCGGCUUCAGUAUAGGAAUUUCCAGCUUUUGUUUGUAAAUUCCAGCUUAAGGUUCAAUUUUCCAACUUUGGUAUGGUUGUAUAUGAGCUAGGUAUAUGUCCAAUUUAGUUAGUCUUAUAGCCUAGAACAAGUAUCCCUUAUAUCUUAUAACUUGUGGUCUUGAUUAAGGUUCAUUUGCCAUGAAGUUAAGCUUUGAAUUUGGAAAAGAAACGUAAGGAAAUUAGGGGAGAUGCUGCUGGUUUUGUUUCUUUCUUUCUUGUAAGUGAGUAAGAGUGAGGGUAGAGGUGUGAUUUUUGGUCGGUUUGGAUUAGGUUGCUUAUGGUUGCUUGAAUCCACCUUGGUUGUGAUGCAUAAGCUGAAUUUUUGUAAAAAACCAUGUAUGAUACAAGGAGGAAAGUAAUGGUUGCUUCAAGCAUGUUCUCUAGUUGCAUUUGUCCGACUUUAAACUUGAGGUUGGUCAUUUUUCUUCCAAAAGUCAUAUGUAUAUUUUACGUAUGUUUUGCUGAGUUUCAUGAGUUAUAAAUACAUAAUAUUUCCCUUUUGUGCUCACGUUUCUUGGGUUCAAAUGCUUUUCUUUUACUCCAAAACUAUACUUGAAUCAUUGCCCUAGUAUGUACUUGAAUUUUUCCUUGGUUCACCUAAGUUUUGGAUGGUUGGACCAUAAUAAUUUUUUAUCUUGGUUGCUCUUAGGGUUUGUCGGUGAAUAAGAAUAACUCGAAGAUGAACGUUUAACAUUGCCUUGUUUUGAACUGAUGAGUGUACCACCUACAUGACAUGUUGCUUAGGUGAACUACUAUGCGACUGAAAAUUAUGAUUGUUUGAUCAUGAUUUUGGUUUACUCUUGGUUGGACGGGUGUGUACCUUAUCACACUCAACCCCACUUGAUUGUUGAUUGUUCUACUGUUCACUUGGAAUCUAUUACAUGUGCUUGAAUUGAAUGUCGUUUGGAACAUACUAUCCAAUGAUCACACUGUGAACUUGGGACCAAACCUCAUUGGUUAGUUUAUCGAAUCGAGCCAGCAAGGGAUUGGUCAAGGUAUAUUGACAAGCCAUGGGGAAACUAUUACUGAUUCACUAAGCUCUAGUUUUAUUCCAAAAUUUGGUAUACUCGAGUAUUACCUUCAUUGUUUGGUAUUCGGGCCCGGUGAGGCGAAUGAAUGGUGGACAGGAAUUGGUGUAAAGUGGUGAUUUAUGGACAAUAUUUCUGCUCCUCUAAACAUUGACGGUGUAUCAACGGGUUUGGAUCAAGCUACUACGACUGGGAAUUCAACUCUCGAGAGCUAACUAUAUCCUUUUACCUAAAUCACUCUAUGUUAGUUAUGGUUAGACCUGGCAAUUAUGUCCAAAACCCAACAAUCCACCUAACCCACCCACUAAUUUGAGAUAUUAGAUUGGGUAAAUUGGGUGUUGGGUCAAUAUUGAGUUGGGUAAUAAAAAUUCACAUAUAUUUUGGGCGGUAUGGGUAUUUGUGUUGGGCACCAUUACCCAACCUAAAAAAAAUAAAAAAAUUAAAAUCAAGGAACACAAAAAGACCAGCAAGUAGCAACUAUGUUUCCGGCGAAUAAACCUCGACCACUACCACCAGCUUCUCUGCCUUUACUCUUGAGCAAAUUCACAAGCCUCCUCCACAAAGAGUUCUUUCUUUCUUGCUAACAACGUUUUCAAUCAAAAGAAACAAAUUUUCAAUCCCACUUUGGGUUCAUUUUUGCUACCCCUUUUGCAGUUCUAUAAUCCCAAAUCCAAGCAGAAGUCACAAAAUCUCAUAUUAAAGCUGUCGAACCGUAACCCUAUUUGCUCUUGUGGUGUCCUUGGUUAUUGUUCCUACAUGUAUAAAGCCUUUUUUUGUUUCUCUAUAUUUUUAGCUUUCUGAGUACUAUUUUAUUUAAAGUCCUUGGUUGGUUAAAGAUCAAUUGGAAUAUUGCAGAUUUAACUAAAUUUAAACAAGUUGAAGAAAAAAGUCCUAACAAUGAGAUCUUGAACUUGCAUUGUUUCGUAUUGGCAUAUUUGUUUUUUGGGUUCCACUUUCUUUGUUCGAUUCUAACUGUUGGAUAUGUUGAUUGUGUAAUUGUUUAAUAGGGGUUCUGAUUCAUUUAUUGAUUGGAAUCGUUGUACUUCCCUUUCGUUUGAUUUGCCAUUAUCCUUUUACUCGAUAGUGUACUUGCAUUUCUUUAUUUUUAGUUGAACUAUUUUGGGCUAUUGCAAAAGAUUGUACUUUGAUUUUGUGUUUAAUGGAACUGACAGAAAUCCCCCACGAGGGCAAUAGAUUGUGGUUGUGUAUAAUUAUUGGGCUAAGUUGAUCUGCAAGCUUAGAGUAGUUGAUGAUGAUUAGAUGGAUGAAUUUGAACUUUGAUGAGUUUGAGUGACUUGCAUGUUUUCCGUGCUUAGAUUAAUAAUAGCAGUAAUUAGUGCUACACUUUCUCAUGUUCUCCUUACAUGUUGAUCCAUGGCUUCAAUUUUGAACUUUCUCAAAUUAGUUCAUCAUAUUAAAUUCCUAUACUAUAAUUAAUUACGUUUCUAGUGCUUACCUGAUUAUAUAUAUAACUGCUUGUGUUUGUGAUCUGUUGGUUGAGGCUUUAAAUAACUAGCUUCCUAUCUCAUACUACUAUUUGUCAACUGGAAGAUGAUGAAAUAAGAUUUGUUGGUAUUACUGCUGCACCAAUGGAGAGUACUUUUAAUGGUGAUAAUGGACAAACUAGAGAUCUCAUGGAUGUGAAUAAAAUUAAUUCAUAUGUUUUUGUAUUUUGUUUCAAUUUAUAUAAUCUUAAAUGUUCAAUAUUUAUGAUAUUUGCAGGGUUUUGAUGUGUACCAAUCUCAACAAGAGGCAGGUGGUAACAAAUUUGAGUUGGAGUUGUAUCUUGAGAAGCGACUAGUAGAUCGUAAGCAACAACCAGAUUUGAAUGUUUUGACUUAUUGGAAGGAGAGUAGAAUUAGAUAUCCUGAGCUUUCACUUAUAGCUCGAGAUAUCUUAAGUAUUCUUAUUACCACUGUAGCAUCCAAGUCUACUUUUAGUCAUGGUGAGAGAAUUCUUGAAAAAUUUUGAACUUCUAUGUUGCUGGAUAAUGUGGAGGCACUACUAUGUUCUCGAGAUUGGUUGUAUAAUAGUGAAGGUAAAUUAGAUAUUUGGUUGCAUUGACUGUUAAUUUUCAGUAGCUUAGGAUCUCUUUAAUUAUUUUCUUCAUUAGUUGAUUAAAUCUGCUAAAUUUUAGAGAGUCCUGAUAAAGAUUUUGAAGUUGAACAAGAAGACCAGGAGCAAGAUCUUGGAAUUGAUAUUAGUAGAUUUAUUGCUGAACAACAUGCAUCUUCAAAUAUUGAUACUUAGUAAGUAUGUCAUGUGAACUCAAUAUUUUAGAAUACGUGUUAUUGCUUUCUACUAUUAUUUUAGUUAGAGUUGUGAUUUGUGUUCCUGGUGUAUAAUGGGUAUGGUCAUGGAAUGUCAUGAUUUUUCAAGUUUCACUUUUGUUGUCUUAGCCUUUUGUGUUAUGAAUUUGAAUUGUAAUACUGCUAUCUAGUUUAGUUACUUCUUUGUCUUGCCACCAGGUUUUGUUAUACAGCACGUGGAGUAUUUUAUUAGAUAGAGGAUGACAUAUUUGAAUUUCGCACAGGUGAUAUUCUGUUUUUAACUCAUCUUAUAUAUCUUGUUGUACAAAGGUGAAUGGCCUUUCGCUGGUUCGAAAUUAUGUUGUUUGGGUAUUAUCACUACAAAAGCUGAUUCAAAGUGCAUGUCUUUUUCGAAGCAAUAUGUCAGCUUUAUUGGUAUCGAGGUAUUUUUUACCUCUAUGAUGUUGAUUCUUUGACCUACCAUAAGCGUUAUUAGUGAAACAUGAUACAAUGAUCUAAGAUUGGUAUUAGUGUGACAGCCCCACCUCCCCCUAAGGUGAACCAAAGGGUUUGGCGGACCGCCUGCCCAACUCACGUCGGGACUCAAACAUACACCUCAAGUAAAAAUGAAAAUAAGACCACAAGAACAAGUGUAACAAUGAUUCCAAACUUAAAACACAUACUUAUAUACAUUUCUAUCUCAAAAGCAAUACAACUUAAAUAUACAAAGGCUCUCAAUUCUUCAUACAUCCAACCCUUGCCAAGCGCCAGGGCGAGAACCAUUACAAAAAUUCAAAAGAACUACACUAGGCUAGUCUGUACAAAUCUCUCGUUCUUGCUCGCAUCCCCUGUUAAGGAAAACAAAACUAACGGAAUGAGUUAAAAGCUCAGUGAGGUUCCAGACACAUAAUCAACUUAAACAAGGACACUCAUCAUGUAAUAACAAGUAAUCCAGGAAAUGUAAUGAAGCAAUGAUAACACAAUCAUUAAAAAGAUACAUGCUCACAUGGAGCCUUUCGUUCUUUCAUUCACCUUUCUUUUCCUUAUUCCUCCAAUCAUUUUAAAAUGCAUUUUGUAAGUGAAAACCCCUCCAUUGACAUUAUUACUCGUUCAUUCAUUUCAUUCUUCCCCCUUUUGGACAUUGGCCAGACUCCACCCAACAACAUGGUAAUACUCGAGUAUACCAAACUUUCACCCAGGGUCACUAAAUCGUCCGACCGAUUCCUUUUCUGGCUCGAGUCGACCGGCAACGAAGGGCAAGGGCCCAGUUCAGCCAAAAGGCUUAUAUUCAUGCACAACUAACAUUUAAUCACUUAAACAUUGAAAAUUUCACAUUUCAUUUAGGUUGAGUGCGAUAAAAUACAUACUCGCCUAGCAAAAUUCAUUUGUAACAAACAUUUAUCAUUUAAUCAAAUAUCCACAACAAAUCAUAUAGUUCAUAGAAACAUAACAAACAAAGAACACUAACCUAUUUAAAUAAAAGAACGUCCAAAGUAUUCUUCCGGGUGAUACCCUCAAUCACCAAGGAACCCUAAUAUAAUCAAAAGAACACAUUAUGCUUCAACCAUCAAAGAUUUAAGUGAUUCAAAGAAAAUCUGAAUACUUACUAGUACAAUAUAAAAAUAUGAGUUUUAAAGUGAAAAGAGUACAUUUAGAUCAAAGGACAUGAGUAACUAAGGGUUUUCCAAACCAAACAUAAAACUAUACUCAAAAAGGUUUUUAGAAAAUUUCAUCGGAAAAUGAAUGAACAGUGCCACGUCAGAAUCCGGCCGGAUUUUCAGCCGGAUUCAAGGCAUUAAGCAUUUCAAUAUUUUUUUUCUUCUUCCCCUGUCAAUUUGGCCGGAUUCAUGGCCGGAUAUGAAGAAAACAUUUUUUCUCUUUUUCGUCAAAUUCUUUGUUUGGCUCAAAACUAACACAUAUGCAAGGAAAUAACAUAUAACAAUUAUUUCGAGUAAAAUUAUAUGCAAAAGGAAGAUAAACAAACCCUAAAUUCACACCUAAAGCCUCGCUUGAUAAAAUAGGUUUUGCGGCCGAGAAACCCUAUGCAACUCUUCUUUGUUUUGGAAAGAAAAUGAGUAAACAUUUGAAGUUCAAAACUUGACAUUUGUAACUAAGUAUCAUGCUUAAAACGGUUGUUAUAUUCACCAUGCGAAAAGGUAUAAGUUCAAGUAAACUUUCACUCAUCUAACACCACAAGAAUGGAUCCAAGUAUAUCUAAGCAAAGCAAAUCCAAAGCAUCACCAAAUCACAUUUCAAAUCUCACUUUUACUUAUUCAAACUUCAAGAAAAUAAACGGACAGCAUUUCCCCUUAAUUUCUUCAGUUUCCAUCCUACAACCAAACACCAAAUCACAUUGCAAAACAACCACAGUUUCACAUACAAAUCAUAGGCGAUAAAACACCUUUCGGCAUAACAACCACAACUGAAGCUACACUUAUCGGAUUUGAAACGAAUCUUAUGGCGUUUCGAAGCCAAGACAUAUACCUACAUUCCUUAUGAAGACCUCCAAAGCCAAAUCAUGCAUUUUCAUGGUCAAAUAUCGAAAUCACAUAGAGGACUGAAAACUAUCUGUGAAACAAGGCUUGUGGACAAUCAAGGGUAUUUCAGUCAUUUCACAAGCUACAGUGCUCUGAUUGAGCUGAAAUUUUGCAGGUAGGUAGAACUCAAAUCUCUACAACUUUCAUGUUUUAAGCAAAGGCUCAUUCGGUCUCUCUCAAGGUCGAACAUAUAGUGCAAAUAUAGGGCAGAUUACUACCAAAAUUGAAAACCCUAAAUCUGAAAUUAUGCACACAAACCAGAAAUUUCUUUAGGCAAAUGAAACUAACACCUAAACACAAGAUUUUCCAUACAUCAAAGCUAGUAAAUCAUGGCCAACCUUUAAUCAUCACAUGUGAGCAAAAAUUACACCAUAAAACUGAAAAUUCCUCAAUCACCACUUCAUAUCACAAUAGUCCUCAUAAAACUACAUAUUUCUCAUUUCUAAACCACUAAUAUGCCAUUACUAGAAGUUAAGAAGGAUUGUCUUGACAAAAUACCUUAUAACCACAAGAAAAAUGGUCGCUUAGGCUUUCCUCCUCCAAAACCACUCCACCAAAACCUUUAAACUUCCUAGUUGAGCACUUGUAUGGUGUAGUUUCAAGUUUGGUUGGCUAGAACACAAGAUUUAAGCAAGUUUGAAAGCUAAAAUUGAAGAACUCUCUCUUGUUUCUCUCCUCAAGAAAGUCGGCCAAGAAGCAAGAAAAAUGAAGGAAUUUUUUUGUCAAAAUUUGGUUUUAGUAAAGUGAAAUAAUCGUAGUCAAAGUCCAACUUCCAAUGAGUUCGCGACACAUGGCACCUUGAAUGUUUGAACCUUAUCUUCUCACUCCCAAUGAUUCAUUUAUCUAGCUAACCUCUUGAUACGGUCCUCGAUCAACUUGUUUCGAGACACGUAGCACGUUUGCCCAAGGAUCUAGCGAGGUUGUCCAACGAUUGGAUUGCGGAACCUAGAAUCAAACAGAUGACACGAUUUGAUUAUAGGCGGUAGAAUGACGACUCCACAAAGGUGGUUACUCUAAUGGAUAGGUCGGUAGAACAAUCUAGGACAAGACGCAAGAUUGCUCAAAACCAUUGCCAAAGCAAGUGAAAGGCUUGAAUUCUCUCUCAAGAAGAAGAACUGAAAAUUAACAAACUUUUAUUGAUAAAACGUCUUCCCUUAAACCUUACAAAGUUAGCCUUUUUAUAGGCUAAAGGUUACUAAAAAUCCUAAGGAAAGCAAUCGGCCAUCUUGGUGUCAAGAUCGGCCGGCCCAUGCUCUACUAAAGCAACUAAUCUAACUCCAAGUAAAUAUUAAGGCCUAAAGCCCUAUUGGGCCCACUCACUUGGAGGCCCACUUGAUUCUUCAUGGGCUUGGAUCAUGGUGUAGACGACUUGGUGUCUCCUUCUAGGCCUUCAAUAUCUCUAUGGACCCCAUGUUGGUCUUGGACAAUACGGACAAGGCCUUGGAGGGAUUUUUUGAAAAGCUUGGCUCGUGCACGUGUGACUGAGCCCAAUGGAACUCGGUUCGGGUCAUUGCGUGGGCCCUGAUCUGUGCAUACAUCAGUCCCCUCCUCUUGAGAAGGAUUUGCCCUCAAAUCUGAAUCCCCCUCUUCCAGGAACGAGCUCAAAUCCGCGACAUUGAAGGUCGCAUUAACAUUGUACUUCCCAGGUAGUUCCAAUUUGUAAGCAUUGUCAUUAACGUGUUGGAGCACUCGAAAGGGUCCAUCACCUCUUGCGGAUAACUUACUUUGUUGCUGCUUGGGAAAUCUCUCCUUUCGCAAGUGUAGCGAAACCCAAUCUCCAGGCUCAAAAACCAUCUUACGACGGUGCUUGUUGGCUUGCUGGAUAUAUUGUUGUGUAUGCUUCUCAAUGUUUGUCCGAACAACUUCAUGUAACCUGCGCACAAAUUCAGCCUUCUUUUUCCCAUCUAAGCUUGUGUGCUCAGAAGAAGGUAAGGGUACUAAAUCAAGGGGGGUCAGCGGGUUAAAACCAUAAACAAUCUCAAAAGGUAAAUAGUGUAUAGCACUAUGAACAGUUCAAUUGUAGACAAAUUCAACAUGAGGUAGACACUCUUCCCACGUUUUAAGAUUCCUUUUAAUCAACGCCCGAAGUAGGGUGCCAAGUGUACGAUUGACAAUUUCAGUUUGUCCAUCGCUGUGUGGAUGACUGGUGGUAAAGAAACCCCUCAUUGACAUUCGUUCAUUCGUAAGUAAAAUCCCUCAUUGACAUUCGUUCAUUCAUUUCAUUCACCCCUCCUGGAUGUUGGCCAGACUCCACCAGACAACAAGGUAAUACUUGAGUAUACCAAACAUUCACCCAGGGUCACCAUAUCGCCCGACCGAUUCCGCUUCUGGCUUGAGUCGAUCGGUAACGAAGGGGCAGGGCCCAGUUCAGCCAUAAGGCUUACAUUUAUGCACAAGUAACGUUUCAAUCAUUCAAUCAUUGAAAAUUUCACAUUCGUUUAGGUCGAAUUCGAUAAAGUACACACUCGCCUAGAAAACUCGUUUUGGCAAUCAUUGAGGGCACUUAGCAUAUUAUCCAACAAUAAUAACAAGCCAUGAAGUCAUGAAGUCAAGAAGAAUAUAACAAACAAGGAAUACUCACCUAUUUACACAAAAUAAUAUCCAAAAUAUCUUGCCGGAUAAUACCGUCAGUCACCGAUGAACCCUAAUAUAAUCAAAAGUGUGACGACCCCACUUCUCCCAAGGGCGAGCCCAAGGGUAUCGGCGGGCCGCCUGCCUAUCUCGCGCCAGGACUCAAAACUUAAAACAAUAAAAGCCAGAAAAUUCAAAAGAGUUCUAUAUACAAUCCCAAAAGAGUUAUAAUUACAUUCUCCAAAAGUACCUGCUCACACUAUUACAUCCUUAUAAGUACCACCAAAACCAAAAUGUAGACCCUAAGGAGGAUCCUUAUACAAACCACCAAAACUAAAACAAAAACAAACAUACUAUAAGUCCAACUAUUACAAUCAAACCUAACUAUGCUAGUGUGUGUGACAAAAGUCCCCGCGUCGGCCCCUGCUAAGGAAAACAAAAGGAAUGGGGUAAGGUAUAUGCUUAGUAAGUAAAUAGGGGCAAAAGCGUAAAUUUCACGUAACAACAGUGACAUAGUAAGAGUAAAGCAAAAGCAGAAAAAUAACACCACAUGAUAAGGAUACAGGUGGCUCCAAAGCCAAUUCAUAUGUCAUGCGUGAUCUCCUGCCGACACUCCGUCGACCACACUUAAUGGUCCGUAGAACUUCACUUGUACUCCCACCGACACCUUAUCACCCUCACUGGUCAGUCACCUCACAAACUUGCCCGGGCGAACGAAAUCACAAACUUGAGCUUGAGUCACAAGCUCGGGUCACAAACUUGGUUCACAACUCGGUGAACCGGAUUCACAAACUUGGUGACCUCAAAUCAGGUUGGACUAGGUUCGACCAAACCCUAACCGGCUCGAAUAGUCCCUCGAGGUAUUGAGAUCAGCCCCAAACUCACAAAUUUCACAAAAUUAUUCAAAAGUUACCCUGAGCCACAAGCUCAAGGGUUUUAGUUCCAAAAUUGCUCAUAUACACAAGCCAUGUACAGAUAUGUGCGCAAAUUAGGGUUUAGGUCGAGUGCGAUAAAGUACACCCUCGCCUAGAUACCCUCUUCAUACAAAUCGAAACACAUAAGCAACGAACACACAAGAGCGGCCUGAAUACUUACUCAAAAUACAAAAGUAGUACUAAAGCAAAAUCGCUUCGCAUGUGUUCGCUAGUAGUGGGCCCCACCGGCUCCGCCUAACUCACCACUGUCUGAAAUAGAAGAUUGUGUCAUAAUAUAUCACAAACGGCCACUAACAUACUUAAAACAAGCAAAACGACAAAAUUGGCACACGCAAGUGCGGAAACGGCAAAAAGGGCAUGCGCGCGCGCGCGGAACGGCAAACGGGACGGCCAAAUCUGCCAUUUCAAACCGUCUUGAUCAAAAGUUAGGCUAUGAGUGUCGGAUCAAGGUGGGUGAGACACCAUUUCGAAGCUAAGAGGAAGAGCUACAACUUUAAUUUAGACAUCUCAACCCAGAUCUCAAUAGGUAUAGGUCAAAAAUGCACGAAAUAGUGCCAGCUGUUUCAUUACGGGUUACCAAGCAGGCCCUGUUUGCAAGGCCGUAACUCACGGCUCCGAAAUCGAAAUCAAGAAAUUCCAGAGGCAUUAGAAAGCUGAGACAUAAGGCUAAAACUUUGAUGUUUUGGUCAAGACCUGAAUCCACUCAGAACAGAACGAAAGUUGAGUGUCAAAGUACCCGUCAGAACUGUCCGGAUACAAGGCAGUUCUGAUGAUCGAUUUUGUUUUGGUCAUAAGAGGAGCUACGGAACUCGGAUUUCGACGCACUUUAUACCGUUUUGAAGCCAAAAUCAAGAUCUACAUUUCUUAUGAAGGAGUCAAAACCCAGAUCAUACAGGAUCAAAACCGAAAAGUCACAGGCAGAAGCUAAACAAAAAAACGCACAGAAUCUGAUGUUCAAAACAGGCUUGAGUAUUUCAUCUAUAACUCAGGCUACGGUAAUCCGAUUGAUCUGAAAUUUUGUAGGAAUAUUCAGAACAUAUAAGGUUACAACUUUCAUGUUUUGAGGAACUUCUGAAUCCAUACGCAACAUCAAGAAAAAGAAAGCCGAAGUUCGGAUCCUGAACUGCCCUGAUUUUCCAGUUUUGCCGGUUUUGCGCGCCGCAACCGCACGAUCCGUUCCUAUGGUUCUUAUGCGAAUUUUCUAACCAAAUUGAUCCCUAACAACCAUACUUAUAUCAGUCUAAGAGUGGUCUAAAGUUCCUUCACAAGUUAGCCCAAGAUCACCAAAUACUAACCAUAAUCCUUAAUCUAGUUUUACUAGCACCAUAGAACUUGUUCUAAUCAUCCAAACACACAAACCCUAACUCAAUAGCCAUAGGCUACACUAAACUAACCUAAUGGAGUCUAGGGUUUCUAACCCAAACCAGAUUUUUGCUAGAAACCAACCAAUCAAGUGAGGCAAUUUAUCAAACACAACCACUACAAGGCAAUUUCCCAAUCAAAACAACUAAGGAAAGCAUUAAGCAAGAAACCCAAAUUUUUCUCUCUCUUGACCAAAAUUUCCAGCAGCAUAAAUCACCAAAAAUUAACCAUAAAACUUCAAUAAAACAUCAAAUUCACCAUAUAAAUCCAUAAUCAUAACAUACCACAUCAUUUCCAUAGCUUAGAAAGUAAAACCCCAACAUUUUAACUUUCAAAGAAGAUGAUUUACCUUUGAUUCAAUCUUUGUAGAUGAUCACCCACAACAAUCAAGUGCUCAAGUUGUUUCUCCAAUAUCCAAACUCAAGAUUGAAGAGCAAAAAUGAUGCACCAAAGCAAGCUUUCCUUUUCUUUUUUCUUUCUCUUCCUCUCGGCUCUCACUCUCUCUCUUUCUCUUUGUUUUGUUUUGUUUUGUUUUGUCUUGAGUAGCCUACAAGUCUUAAGGUAAUAUGGUCAAGACCAUAGGAGAUAUUUAUUAAGCUUAGCCAAUCACAUAAAAGCUCCUCAAUUGCACUUUUAACCCUUGCACUCCAACUUUCUCUUUCUUAUACAUUUUCCCUCAAACAUUUGAUAAUCUUUCAAUUAACUCCAUAGGUCAUAACUUAAUCUAAUCUAAAACAUGUAAUCAUGCUUAAUUACUUCACUAAUCACUUUCUUAUUUUAAUCACCUAUACUUAAACAUACUUUCUCCAUAUAUAAAAUAAUUAAUCAACAACUUAUAUAAUAUGGGCAAAAUUAGGGUUUUUCAACCCAACUUCAACGUUCUAAUAAAUCAUGACACUAAAGGUUUACUAAUCUAAGGUUUGUAAACUAAAACGAAAUCCUAUUUUUACUCGAGCCAAAACACACACCAUAAUACCAAACAGGAACUAUAACUUGAACCUACAAAUAACACAUAAACUAGGAUUUAAUCAUAAACAAAGUUAGGGUUUUCAAUCUUAGCCCUAAAACCUUAGUUUAACCGUACAAAAUAAUGAAUAACCCUAUAAUCAACUUACGAACGGACUGGGGCCUCACAAAAAGAGCACAUUAUGCUUCAACCAUCAAAGAUUUAAGUGAUUCAAAGAAAAUUCGAAUACGUACUAGUAUGAAAUAUAAAUAUGGUUUUGGUAGUGAAAAGAGUACAUUGAAACCAAAGGACAUAAGUAAAAUAUUUGUAAAACUUAUGCUCACUCGUAAAACUUUAAAAUUUCCAAUUGAGUCGAAGUGACAAAAAAACGUAUUUCUAUUAGUCGUAAAUUUCAUUUUUUCCAAGGGUACAAGUUUUGGCUAAGUUCGAACAUAUAUACCUCGAUAAAAGAAGACGCCAAUAUCAUAAAUAGUUCAAGUGGUAUUCGCUCUCAAGCCUUGCUCAAGUCGCAAGUAUAUCUACCUAGCCCUCGAGCGUAAAUUUGGGCAGCACGCCCUUUGUAUUUACCUAUUUUCCAGCCAUUUAUGGUUUCAUUAUUUUUCUCAAUCAAUCCCAGAGUCAUACACCAAAUCAUCUCAUUUCAAUAGCCAUUUCAUAGGCUCAAAGUCAUACAAGUACAAAAUCAAGCUAGGAACAUGUGCGGAAAUGAAGUUUGCGUCAAGAAACAAAAGACAGAUUUGACGUUGUUUUGCGUAACAAACACAACCGAGGCUACGCUUAUCAUAUUGAGGUGCAAUUUAUACCGUUUCGAAGCUAAGACAAAGAGCUACAACUUUGAUGAAAACCACUUAGUCCAGUUCAUAGUGUAUCUAGGUCAAACUUUCGAAUUACAAAACCAAAAUCUCACAAACAGGUCAGUUAACCGUGCUAUGCUUAAACGACAAUAACUCAGGCUACCGAAGUCCAAUUGAGGCGUUUCCAAUGGCGUUGGAAAGCUAAGACAUAAUACUCCAACUUUCAUGUUUUGGCUAAAUACUAGUUCAGUACAUAUCAUGGUGAAAAGACACGACCAGAUUGGUAAAAUAUUCAAAACUGAUCACUGGAUUCACCAAGGACAGUCAGGGUAUUUCGGUCUUUUCGCAGGCUAUGUUGCUCCGAUUAAGCUGAAAUUUUGCAGGCAACUAUAAAACAUCAUUCUCUACAAUUUAUGUUUUAGGCUAAGCCUAAUUCGGCCUCUAACAUGGUGAACUAGAACCGGGCAGAACAAGGUAUACCUUAACUUCAAUUCUGGAAAUUUGCUACAAUCAAAGGUAUAAAUCUCAUUUUUAGCUUGAAACCAUCACUACCACCUCAUAUACAAGCUUAUAUACAUCAUAUACCAACCACACAAUAAGUAUGAUAAGUGAAUCAUUCAAACCCUAACUCAAAUUCAUCACCCCCAACCAUCCAAAAUCACUUGAUACAAGUAUUACAAGCACCUUUGAACCACAAAUAAGCUAACAAUGAAUCUAGUAUUAAAAGUAAAGAGAGAUUUCUUGACAAGAUACCUUAAAACCACAAGAAGAUAGUGGUUUAGUCUUUCCUUCUCCAAAACAACUCCACCAAAAUCAUCAAGCUUCCUAGUUGAGCACUUGUAUGGUGUAGUUUCAAAUUUGGUUGGCUAAAACUCAAGAUUUGAGCAAGUUUGGAAGCAAGAAAUUGAAGAGCUCUCUCUUGUUUCUCUCCUCAAGAGAGUCGGCCAAGAAGCAAGAAAAUGAAGAUAUUUUGGGUCAAAUUUUGGUUUUUAGCAAAGGUGAAAAUGAGGUCAAAGUCCAACCUCCAAUGGGUUUGCAACACUUGACCCUUCUAGUGUUUUCUCUAAUCCUUUGGCUUCCAAUGGUUACAUCAUAUAACAAACCUCUAAUUACCCUCUAGCACCUUGUAUAAUAAUAACACUUAGCACAAAAAUCACUUAGUCACCAAAAUUAUAUCACACUAGCGGGUCCCACGUCUAUAACACAAUUCAAAUUAACGUACACUAACUCAUAUUAGGAAAAUAAUUUUAAAACUGUACUUGCUUGUAAAAAUGCAUAGAAAUUUUAAUAUUUCCAAGGAAAAUAUAAAUGUAGGCAAAGAAAUAAAAUAAUGUUGAGAAAAUAUGAAAAUUUUUGGGUUCUCACAUAUCAAUCAUAUGAUCGCAUGUAUGUUUACUAUCUAAUCGCAACCUGGCAUUUGUGGAUUGCUUGAUCAGAUAAUUAAGUUGUGAGCACAAUUUUCAAAUUAUCCAAUUAAGACAAUUCGUCUAGAUAAUGUUUGUGAAUACUCAUCACAUGUUUUUUAUGAUUAUUGCAUGUCCAUUGGAAUAACUGUUGAACAUCCUGUAGUUUAUGUUUACACACAAAAUGGUCUAAUCGAAUCAAUUUUUAAGCACGUACAAUUAAAUACUAGAUCAUUAUUGAUGAGAUCUAAACUUUCUUUUUCUACUUGUGGACAUGCGAUAUUACAUGCAACAACACUUAUGAAAAUUAGGCCAACAAAUUAUCAUACUUAUUCUUCUCUGCAAUUAACUUUUGGUUAUGAAUCCAAUAUUUCUCAUUUACGAAUAUUUGGUUGUGCAUUUUAUGUUCCAAUUACACCACCUCAACAUCGUAAAUUGGGCCUCCAAAAACGAUUGGGGAUAUGUAUUGGGUAUGAAUCACCUUUGAUAAUUAAGUAUAUUGAGUCAUUGACAAGUGAUUUGUUUACGAAAAGAUUUGCAGAUUGUCAUUUGAUGAAUCACAUUUUCCAAUAUUAGGAGAGGUAAAGAUUAAUCGAAAAAGGAAAAGAAAAUCACUUGAAAAAUAUCAUUGAAUUUUCUUGAUUCUUGUACAAAAGAAUGUGAACUAGAAGUUCAAAAGAUUAUACAUUUGCAAAAAAAUUAUAAAUCAAUUAUCGGAUGCAUUUAAUGACUCCAGAAGAGUUACCAAAUCAUAUAUUCCUGUUAAAAAUAUUUUGAUUAAAAUUAAUGUCCCUGAAAGAUAAUUUACAAAUGCUAAUAAAUCUAAAAGUACGCCUAAAAUGUGGGAGAACUCUUGGUUCCAAAGAUAAAAAUUCUCAAAAGAAAAGAGAAUUAGAUAAGUCAAUAAUUAGUGACAAAAUUUAACCUCUCGAAGAGGUCACUCUUAAAGAGCCAACUCUUGAAGAGAAUGAAAUUAUAGAAAAUUCAAUAAAUUUCGUCACCACAAGGAAAAGUUGGAACUAAAGAAAAAUAAUUGUUGAUAGUAUUUUGGCAUAUAAUGUAACACUUGAUAUUAUGAUAGAAGACGAGAAUCAUGAGCCUAAAUCAGUUGAUGAAUGUCGGUAUAAAAAUGAUUGACCAAAAUGGAAAGAUGCGAUACGAUCUGAAUUAGAUUUAUUUGUUAAAAGAAAGCUUUUAGAUCUGUAGUCCAAACACCUGAAGGUGAAAAGUCAGUAGGAUAUAAAUGGAUAUUUGCGAGAAAAAAAAAUGAGAAAAAAUAAAAUUGUAAAAUAUAAAGCAAGACUUGUAACUCAAGAAAUUUCAUAAAGAUUUGGAUUUGAUUAUGAUGAAACAAAGGGCCUGUUUGGAACCUGAGUUUUUUAGGAGUUUGUCUAAAACUUUACUGUAGUGCACUGUAGAAGUUUUUGAAAAAAUUUUGUAGAAGUUUUUGUUAGGUGAAAAAUUUUGUAAAAGUUUUUGUAAGGUGAAAAACUUUUUUUUUUCUUUUUUUUUUCUUUCCCUUUCUUUUUCUUUUUCUUUUUCUUUUUCUUUCUUUCCUUUUUCUUUUCUUUCCUCUCUUUUCUUCUUCUUCUUCUUCUUCUUCUUCUUCUUCUUCUUCUUCUUCCCGGUUACCUCACCACCCCAGCUGCAACUCCACCUCCCGCCGUCCCCCUCCCCCGCAGCCUCUCUCUCCCCCGCCUUCCCCCCCGCAGCCCCCUCUGCCCCUUCCCCCGCCUUCCUCUCCCCCCGCCGCCUCUCUCUCCCCCAUCUUCCCCCCCGCAGCCCCCUCUGCCCCUCCCUCUCCCCGCCUUCCCUCUCUCCCCCGCAUUCCCUUCCCCCGCAGCCUCUCUCUCUCCCCGCCUUCCCCCCGCAGCCCCCCUCUGCCCUCCCCCCGCCUUCCCUCUCUCCCCGCCGUCCCCCUCCCUGCCCCCUUCCCCUUCCCCGCCGCCUUCUCUCUCCCCAUCUUCCCCCCCGCAGCCCCCUCUGCCCUUCCCCUCCCCCGCCUUCCCUCUCUCCCCACCGCCCCCUCUGCCCCCUGGCCGCCCCUCUCUGUGUCACCCCCCUCUGCGCCAGACGUAAGAGAGAAAAAAAAAAAAGACAAGGGAGGAUGAUGGCAGGGGAGGAAGAGGGGGAGAGGGAAAAAAAUGGGGGAAAAAAAAAGACCGGCACCGGCACCGGAAAUUGGUGACGGAGCCGGCAAUGGAGGUGGUAGUGAGGGAGGAAGAAGAAGAAAAGGGGAAGGGAAUUUUUUUUUGUUGUGUUUUGGAUAUUUUAAGUGUGUAGGUUAAAAACUUUGAUAAGUUUUUUGGGGUUCCUGUAGCAAAAGUUGUUAAAAAACUAGUUUUAUACAAACUUGGUAAACCAAGCUUCUAAACAGGCCCAUAUUCACUUGUAGUGGAUGCAAUCACAUUUAGAUAUCUUGUGAGUUUCGCAGUGCAUGAAAAACUUGAUAUGUGUCUAAUGGACGUAAUUACUAUUUAUUUAUAUGAAAAUCUUAAAAAUGAUAUUUAUAUGAGAAUUUUCGAAUAAUUCAACAUGCCUAAAGUAUGUAAAUCAAAUGCUAAAGAUAUUUAUUCUCUUAAAUUACAAAGAUCUUUGUAUGGAUUCAAACAAUCUGAAUAUAUGUGGUAUAACCACAUCAAUGAAUGUUACCAAUAACCCAAUAUGUCCAUGUAUUUUUAUCAAAAAAAAAGGGGGUUAAAUUUUGUGAUAAUUGCUAUAUAUGUUGAUAAUCUUCAUCUAAUUAGGACUCUUGAAGAGAUCCAAAAUACUGUGUUGACCUUAGUCCCUAACUUUUGAUGUUUACAAAACAAUGGAUAAUACUAAUAUCUUUUCAAGAAAUACUUUCAGUUAUGAAUCAAAUUAGAUUCAAAGAUUAAGCACAUCUGAAAGGGACAAAGUAUGUUGAAGCUGUCGGACGCUCAAGAAGACAGGAUCGGACGUCCGAUACUCAUUGCGCAACUUAGGACGCAUGAAAAACUCCAUCACCGGACGUCCGAUAGGAUCCUUCAAAGUCGACAAAACCAUCGAACGCUGAAUAUGUCUCUACCGGACGUCUGAUAGAAACAAGAUGAUUUCUCAAAUCUCUUUGUUUGCUAUCGGACGCACAAAGAACUUGCACCGGACGUUCGAAAGAAUUGAAGAAAAUCUCUUAAACUCACUGCCUGCCGUCGGACGCAUAAAACAGGGCUAUCGGACGUCCAACAGUCCAACGGCUAGUUGACUCUUCAGCUACUUUCUAUUUGUUGGAAGUAUUAAUGAAGCACUUUCUUGAUCCUACAUAAAUAGUGGUUGGUCAGAUAUUUCAAACAACUUUUGCACACUGAAGAUACAAAAGAUCUUGAGUGAUUUUAGUGAGAAAAUACUCUUCAAAUAAGAUUUGUAGUCUUAGUGGUGUGAGGUUCAUUGUAAGCUUUUCAUUUGUGAGUGAAUACUUCAUGAGUGUAGCUCUGUGAGGGUUGUCCUGAGAGAUAAUAAAACGUCCUGACUUGACCAAGUGGAGUUUGGGGCAAGGAGGAGGUGAACCUUCUUUUGUACACAAGAGUGAUUGUAAUUCAUCAACUUGAAGUAGUUUGUUUGAAUUAACCUACAAGCUCAAGAGGAGUUGGGUAGUUAAUUGGUUUGCUAUUCUUUCCUUUUUAUUUACUUAUUGUUACGUUUGAGAUAUUUACAUUGUUUAUCUCUUCCACUUGUUUGUCUUCGAUCCUUACAUACUAUUAAAUGUUUGAAGAAAAAUUUGAGAUUAAAUAUUUUGGAAAGACAAAACUCUACCUUAAUUUACAAAUUGAGUAUUUGUAAGGUAAAAUUUUUGUCCACUAAACUACUUAUAUCCAAAAAGUAUGAAAGCAAUUUUAUAUGGAUAAGACACAUAUAUUAAGUACCCCAAUAGUCGUUAGUUCAUUAGAUCUUAAUAAGAAUCCUUUUAGACUAUGAGAGGAAGAUGAAUGAUAUUUAGUCCUAAAGCACUAUAUCUCAGUGCGAUUGAUGCACUAAUGUAUCUUGCUAAUUGUACAAAAUCUGAUAUAUCAUUUGUAGUGAAUUUAUUAGCAAGAUUUUGCUCCUCUCCUACAACAUUGGAAUGAUAUUAAACAUAUUUUUUGCUAUCUCCAAGGAAUAAUUAAUCUUGAUUUAUUUUAUUCAAAUAAAUCGAAACAUGAAUUGCUUGAUUAUACUGAUGUUGGAUACUUAUCUAACCCGCAUAAAAUAAAAUCCCAUACUGCUUAUCUAUUUACAUGUGGUGAUGCAGUUAUUUGUUGGCGAUCUACAAAGCAAUCAAUAGCAGCCAUUUCAUCGAAUCAUGUUGAAACAAUAGUAAUUUAUAAAGCCAGUCGAGAAUGUGUUUAAUUAAGAUCAAUGACCCACUACAUCCAAAAGAGUUAUGGGUUAUCCUGAGAGAAAGAAAAUCCUUCAACUAUAUUAUAUGAAAAUAAUGCAACUUGUAUAACUCAAUUGAAAGGAAGAUACAUUAAAGCAGAUACGACGAAACAUAUUUCACCAAAAUGCUUCUUUACUCAUAAUUUGUAAAGAAAUGGUGAAAUUGAAGUGUAACAAAUCCAAUCAGAUAAUAAUUUGACAGAUUUAUUUACCAAGGUAUUACCAACUACAACUUUUGAGAAAUUGGUAAAGAAUAUUGAAAUGCGUCAGGUAAAAAAUCUCAAAUGAUGUUUGCAUCAGAGGGAGAAAUUAAUACACAAGAAUAGUGUACACUUUUAAUUUCAUUAAGAUUUUUGUCCCACUAAAUUUUUCCCUAAUAAGGUUUUAACAAAGCAUAUUCUGUGUAAUGGACAUUCAAGUGAAAGUGUUAUGAAACAACUAAAGAUGUGGAUGUGUAUUCUUGAGAAGAUUGAUUCAUGAAUCCUCCACAAUAUUCAUUGAUACAUUGAAUGAAUUCUAUUGUUGUUCGUUAGUUCAUUAAUAGAGCCAUCCUAUUCCUUAACGAGUAUUUAAUAAGGUUCAUGUAUGUGUAAUCUUAUAUUACUCAUAUAUAAAGGUAUCAUAACCUCUCUUGUAACAACUUUUGAUCAGUUAAAAUAAUAAAAAAAUAGUUCUCAUUUCUCUCUCAACUUCUUACUUACUGUUCCAAUCCUCAUUUUAGUAAUUUAUUUUAUUAAUUUCACAACAUACUUUACUUUAUUUUUAUUUAUUUGUUUGUUUAUUGGGAUUUCAAAUUCCCUACAAGCUUGUUAACCCUCACUAUUAUCUCAAUAGAUACAGAACCACACAUUCCAUGACGCCUAAUAUUUCUCUGUUAUAUUGACACAUUAGACAGCCAAAGUAACAAAAUACAGUCAAAGAGGAACGGUUUCCUGGCUUUUAUGUUCCUAUGGCCGCCGUUCUUGACUUCUUCUCCAAUCAAAAAUGACAGGUAAAAUAGAUUUCUUGAUUGCAAACGACUGAACAACGUCAAAUACCAUUGAGAGUGACGGAGUGAUCAACCAUAGCUUUGAUCUUUUAAGAAUGCAAUUUCUUACAAAUUACGAACUGGUUGCACCAAUAAGAAUAUAUACGACAUAUUUCACUCACUAAAGAUCUAUAAUGCAUGUUUUUACAAGAUUUAGUGUGAUGCAAUUCAAUCUGCUCUCUGCAACAAAUAAACUCAAUUUAUCCUUGAGCUGUUCCUCCUUCCCCACCAUUUUUUCCUUCCCUUGUCCCCAGACCCCUCGUCACUUCC